AUGGGAGAUCGCAGCGAGAUCUCGGCGCCGCCGCCGGCGAUCGAGCACGACAUCCCCGACGAGCUGCUCGAGCUAGUGUUCCUGCGCCUCCUCUGUCCUCGCAGCCUCGUCCGCGCCGCGUGUGCGUGCAAGCGCUGGCGCCGCAUCAUCGCUGACGGCGCCUUCCUCGGCCGCCUGCGGUCUCUCCGCGCGCCCCCUCUCGUCGCCGGACACUACCGCGUCGACGAGCCUGUGCACGGGGCGUGCCGGCCCGUCUGCAACCCGUCUUCUUCCCCUCGCCGUUGUUGGCGGACGCCGUCGGCCUGCGGCCUGAGCGCCUGUCGCUCGACUUCCUCCCGGGCUGCGACGGCGGCUCGUGGCACAUCGCCGACAGUCGAGGCGGCCUCCUCGUCCUGA
rnacentral:rRNA from 1 species